AAAAAAGAGAAACAGCCUGUUCAAACAAUCGCUGUCAAAGAUUUUGGGGUGUGGGAGGAGGGAACCUAAACCAUCUUCUUUAUAAAAUCAGUUCCUCACAGCCAGUUCCUCUUGUAGGAUGAGUCCUUUGCAUCUGAUUAGAAUCAUUUUUGUAACAAGCAGGUUUUCCUGGCUUUCUUUUCAAAUAAAAUGUUAAAAGCAGCAGUGUUUGGACAGCGGAUUGUUCUGUUAAACUUUCCUAUCUUCUCACUGUAUCCAGAAAUGCUCCUUCCUAGCAGCAGUAGUAGCUUUUCUCCAUUUUGUUUUUUCUGCAACAUUCUGUACAAAAAUGUGCUGUAAUUGUGCGUUAGGCCUGGAUUUGGCAUAAAAGAUGAAUUCCUUCUUUCUCUCUUUCAUGAAACUACUCUGUAGAGCUUUUUCCACACCCUGUAUCCCUCUUCACCUUUUGUAUUUAAUUUUAAAGUCAGUGUACUUCAAGAAAGCUGGAUGCAAGAUAGAUACUAUAUUAAAAUGUAAUGUUAUUUAAGAUGUAAUAAAGCAGUUUGACAUGAGUUUUGACUGAUCUGUUUUGCAGCUUAUUGUUCUACUUACAAAACUGCUUCUGGCAGAAGAAUUUGAGUUAUGGAGUAUAAUAUGAGAGGUCAAAACAUGUCUUUAAUUGCUCGGUAUUUUAAUUAGGUAAUGUAUGUACUGUGUAUGAAAGGUCUGAAUUGUAUAUGUGUGAGAAGAUGCAGGACUCGGUCGGUUUUUGGUGUUUUUAGUGCUAAAAGCAGUUGGAAGAUGAACUAAAACCUCCGUGUUCUUUAUUAACAGGCAGUAUUCAAAUAUUGCUGGCAACUUUUAAAAAUGUAUAUGUGAAAGUGAUACAUGCUAAUGCAGAAUUUAAUGAUAUAGUAUGUAUAUAGAGUUCAGUGGCUGCAGGCAUUUUUCUUCCUCCAUUCUUAAUUAUUUAGGAUCGUUUUAUUGCUAGGCCUUCUCAAAUGCUUAAUUGAAAACAGUUGGCACUCCCUUAGCUCGGAUUCCAAACAAAAAGAGCUGAUGUGAUUUGCAUUGGUAUACAUCACAAAAAUGUUCGGUGGAAUAUAUAUUGAGUGUAAUGCCUGAAGCAGGAAAUCAGAGAGCAAAACAUUUAGUAACUUAAACUUUUGUGCCCUUUAAUAGGAAAAGAAUUGAGUGGAACAUCUUAUGUUACUGCUAUAUGAGGAUCUGGCCAGAUAAGCUGUGUUGUCAGUGUUAGCUGUCCUUACUGUAGGUAUUGAGAAGGGUAAGUAGUUGUCAUUUUAAUGCUCAGUAAGAAUAAAGUCUGCACAAAACAGCACUAUAUAUCUAGAAAACUCUUGAUUUUGUACCCACAGAAGUAAAGUUUUGCAGCAACUAUUUAGAGAUGCUGAAAUGCAGUUGGUUUAGCAACUUGAUAUUUGUCCACUUAAGACCCCCCCCUUUUUUUUUUUGUGGGUAAAAUUUCUUUUAUAAUCUGACUCAAAUUAGAAUAGAUUUUCAUUCAUUUCACACCAACCAAGACAAAUUCCAAUAUGAAGUCCUGGUUUCAUGCCAAACAUGGGUAUUCGCAGCCUUGAUAGAGAAGUAUUAAAGUUUAAGUAUGGAAAAUAUGAUGGUGGCAUUACUUAACUACAAGUCAUAACUAAGAGCUUUGGGUUUUGGGACUGUGUAACACUGGUAAGUUGUUUAUGGCUGGAAAUACUUAAAUGUUAGAAUUCAGAGAGUCUCUUCCAACUUCAGAUGGUAUAGCUCUUUUUCCACUCACAUGGAAUAUUUUUAUUACAAUUGAUGUUUUGUAUGUGAAGUUUGUCUAGUCUAUAAUAAAAUCAGUGCAGAUGUUAUGUAUUACUUUGCUUAAUCUCCAUCCAUACACUAAAUUACUGUUUCCUACCUGUUCUGAUAAUGCUUUUGCUUGGCAGUAAGAUACCAAGGUAGUAACUUCCUGUGUCAAGAGGCUAAUAGGUCGUGUGAUUGAUUUGAAAUGCUAGCAGGUGAAGAUUUCUCUAUUACAGGCUGUGUAUCUGUUAAACACAAUCUUUACACUGUAUUGCUUAGAUGUCUUUUUCUAUGCUUAGUAAUUCAGGGAGCUGUAACUCAAGAUGAAAGAUAAUUUAAAGAUAAUCCUGGAAUAUGGUUCCAAAAGAGUAGCAUCACCCAGCUGCUGGCGCGUUCCUAGAGCAAGGUUUUAUAAGUUGAGGACUGUGUUUGAAAGUGAUUCAUCUGUGCCUGGCCUCAGUGACAGCUUCUGCAGUUCCUUACUCACUGUGGGCUCUGGAGUCCAGACAAGGGGAUGAAUAAAAUAUGUAAGAAAUACAAAGGGAUGUGGAGUGGUGGUUUUGCAGUGAAAUAUUGAGUAAAACUAACAAGAUGUGAGAAGCAUGUUAGUUGACAAAGGUAGCAGGACCAAUGAAUCUGAGGUACUUGGGUGAUGAGUAGAUGUGGAGAAAAGUCACAAUUGUGUGGCCAUGGGUUGGAAAGAGUGUUGCAGUAAAAAUGGACAUCCAUGGAACUGUAUACCUCAGGCAGCUGAUGGAACAAGUCAAGUGGAGGAAGAGAUAUCAGGUUUUGCAGUCUCAGUAGCUGAAGUUCAGAAUGCUGUGUUCCUAGUGGGCCUUUAAUUUCUCAGUGAAUUGAUGUAUUUCAAAAGAUCUGAGGAACUAUUGCUAAUAGAUUGGAGUUGUACUGUUUAAGUGUUGACCAUUGUGAAGUGCCCUGGAAUAUAUGUUUAAAAUCAGCAGUGAAUCACUCUUAAAAUUACUGAUUGAAUCAUGCUCUGUAAGGGCUAAAAAUAGAUUGAUCUGGUUUCUGGGAAGUGACAGAGUAAAUAAAGAAUAACAAAACUUGUCACCCUUGCUGAGUUGCGUAGCUAGGUCUGAAACAAAUCAGGAUUGUGUAUGGUAUUUCAGUUAAUGCUGCUUUUAGGGUAGGUGCAGUCUUGAAUUCAAAUAUGGGAUGAAGGAAUUACAAAAAUGAAGUAAUGAACAAAUCUGAACAGCAGUAAGCAAUUUUCAGGUAGCAGUGCUCUGUUUUUCUCCUCUUUCUAUGGCUUUUAAAAAGGUGGCUUUCACUUCAAACAUCAAACUAGUCAUUGGAUCUGAAUUACAGUGGUCAUUUUGUUGAUGUACUUCCUGUGCUACUGUAAAGAAAAUGGAAACAAGGACCAACAGGAAUAAUCAUGCUUGAUAUCUGACUCCCUGAAGCUGGUACUUUCGUUUUUUGCCAUUGAAUAAUCCAGUGAGAAGAACCAGACAGGAUUUAGACUAAAAUGGCAAAAGCCUCCCAAUGGACUUCAUCAUGUUCCUGUGAAGAAAUUACCUCCAUUUCAUAUACUGGGAGUGUGAGGCACAGAGAUGCUUGCAUUUACCCUUGUCUUCCAACGGCUGAGUUGGGACACAAACCAACUCCUCGACCUCCGGUUCUGUCUUUGGUGAGAAGAGUGUUGCUGUGUCUGCUCUUCCUGUCUGAUAUCUGCUGCUCAGGCUGACAAAUCUUGGCAGUUGCCAUCGUUUUCCACCAUGCAGAAGAACUCCUGUGAACAGCGGAAGAUGGUGGCAACAGAUCAGGGUGGAGUUAGCCUGACAUUCUGAUCCUGUUGGAGGAAAUGUCAGCUGUAAUACAUUUGGCUGUAAGCCUGGUAAAUCACAAAUACUCUGAACUUUACAGUUUAUUCUGAUAGAGAAUCUUCUGAGUUGGGUUUGGCUGAAUUCUUCACAGGACAUCCUCUGCACUUAUAUCAGGGAUUUAUGAGCAUAUCCAUCCUACUCAGAUGGUAGCCCUGUUUUUUUGUGGUGUUUGAGAGACUUUAAUACUUUGUAGCAUGGAAAUUCAGCUCUGUGGUGGAAGACCAGACCAUAAAACAGUUGUCCAGGCUCUCUGAAAGGUUAUGUAACUUGGCAGCUGCAUUGCAUCUGAAAGUUACUUGGAUCUUUCCUUCCUUCCCCCUUCCAUGUCGCAAAGCCAGCAGCUUUCAUUACUCUCCUGCUAUUUAGAAUCCAUUGGUGAAAUAUUCUGCAAGUGAUUCUAGUUUGUACUUCUCUGUUUUCAGAAAGACUAUCUUAACUGCAGCAGAUUGAAAUAAAAAGAUUUGUGAUCCUGCUGGAAAGCAUGUGCAUUAAGAACUAAUUCAUGGUAGUGCCAUGCAUUAUUUAGGGGCUUUGCUUGCAUGAGUGAUCAAAUUCAGACUCUUCAGCUGCUGGGAAUUGAGGAUUAUGCUGUAUGUAAACCUCAAAUACUGCUUUUCCUAGGCUUGCGUGACAUCUGACUUCUGAUCAGAUAGUCAUAACUGUAUAAUUAACUACUAGGUUAAUUAUUUCCAAGCAGUUUGAUUUUUGGUCACUUACAUUGAAAUUUUGGUUUCAGUAUGAUGUUUGACAAUGUGCACAAGUUUUCUGAUUUAUUUUAUAAAAGGGAGUGAAUCUCAGAUAAAAGGGAAUUAGACUCAAUCAGAAAGACUUAGGGAAGGGUUUUUUUUUUAGCUAUGAAGUUCACAUUGUAUUGCUUUGACAGGCAGAAUCCAGUAAAACUAUAUCCUGAUUCCCUUUGUAGCUUCAGAAAAAGAAAUCAUUUAAAAUUUAUUUAUUAUUUAAUAUCACUUAACUGGCUGCUAGCAGAAUGUGCUUGAAAUGUGGGAAAAAUCACAAGUUGGACAUGAAGAACAGGAGGUUUAUUCCACAAAUCACUCCAAUAAAAGCAGACUGGAGAACAGUCUGGCCAACUGGUGUAUUUCCUUCCACAUCAUCUUCUGCAAGAUAUCUUCCUACCAUGAGCACGAAAGCCAUCCUCCCUAAAUCCAUGGUGUCGUCUAGGAUAGUCUAGCAACAGAACGAAAUAGGCUUUGUGUUAAAUCUGAUGUCUGUUGGCUUCAGAGUAUCAAACUUCAGUUCAUACCGCCAUCUGGUGUUAAUAUCUGGCUUAGCCUGGGGCCUUGUCUCAGCCAUCCACAAUGCUUUGCGAGAGAAAGGCUCUCAAGGUCAGGAUGUGGUCCAAGGAAUCAGAACGGCAGCUGCUACUCCAUGCUGUGGAGGCUGCUCUGCUGUGCAUGGAGCGUGCCAGCUUGGGGUGAUUUGAAAUACUGCAAUGUGGUCAUACUUGUUGCGUUGCCUCGUGGAAACGUGCAUACCUUUGCUUCACAAUGAGGUAAAUUCAUGAAAUAUUUCGUAUGCCCUACCCAUGGUGUGAUGAACAACUUGGGAACACGUGCAAUACAGCACUGAAGAACAUGCAGGUUUGCCCCAGGAAAUGCAGCCCCCCUGCAUGUUUUUAGAGACCCCUGUGUUUUGUAGCAAUGUGGGAAUACACAUCCCUACUAUCAUUAGAUAAUACUGUUACAGCACUGUCUUGUAAAACCUAGAAUACAAAGUGCUAGUUCUUGCAUAGGUGUAUAAUGAUGAUACCGUUUAUUCUGUACUGUCCAUCUCUGUGGCGAACAUGUAACAGUAUAGCAAAGCCAGCCUUCUGCGUGUUCUAAACUGGACUGAUCUAAAAUUAAUUGCAGGAAACUGGGGAAAAACACCCAGAAAACCCACUCACUCUGUCUGAGGACCAGUCUGCUGUCACAGAGGUUGUGUAAGCAGGGUUACUGAGUUUAACAAUUCACCUUUUGUACUUGAAACUUGAGAUUUUUGAGCUUAAUUUGAAAGUUAGAGACCUUUGCUCCAUCUCAUAAACACUAGGAGGCACUGCUUGUGCAGUGUUUUAACUACAAGAGUGAGCAGUUUUUACUGCGUCUUCCUUUCUGGUUACUGGAAUUUAGUAUUCACUGUUCCCCGCACAGCUGUUAGUUUUAUUUUUAAAUAUUGGGUAUUUUGUAGAUACAUUUUCUUUUGUGCGAGAGGAAAAGGCUGCCUUCACCUCUCUGUGCCUUUCUGAGAACCAGAAUAAAGGUUUUGAAUGGGAAGGUUUUCAAAUGCAUCUGUUAUCUGAGCAUCUGCAAAAUAGAAGGGAAUUGAAAACAUGAAAAGAAUGUUAAUAAUGCUUGGGUGUCGAGAAUUCUAAUGCAAAUGAUCCAGCAGUUGGCAGAGACUAGUCUGCUUUCAUUUCUGUUUUGGACAGAAGGAUGCAUUGUAAGGCUUUUAUCCCGAAUUAAUCCCCACCUUAUACUGAAGCUUUUGAAUACCAAACUUUUUUCACCUGUAUCUGUGUUACCGAUUGUAUCAACUGUUCUUAGGGGGUGGGGGGAAAAUCACGGGAAUACCAGGGCACUAUAUAGAUUUCUUGUGCUAUCAGAUGGACAGCACAAACCUAGAGCUUAAGGGAACAAAGAUGUGUGAUUUAUAAGAAGAAAAAAAAAAGAGGACAAAUUACCAUUUAACUCAAGGGACUCCCUUUUUUUUUAUUUCUCCUUUAAACAGUGUGUAGUACAGGAAUGCCUUCUGUAAGUGGUCUGAUAAGCCAGCCACUGCAAAGCAGUGCUUACUUAAAAAGACUUGAGAGCCAUGUAUAGUAAGAAGAUAUCCAUAACUUUGAUGAUGAUGGUCCUAACAAAACCAUUUAAGUUUUAACUCCUAAUGAAUUAAUUAGCAUCAGCUAUAGUGCAGUAAGGAAUGCCCAUGUUUGCAGUGCAUUGUAUGAAUGCUUACUACUUACUUUAGUUAGUUAGUGCGUGAUCAGAUUUUGUUGUAGUAACCUAAACAUAACUGCAUCUUUCAGUUACCUUCUCUUUUGAAAAAAAUAGCACAUAGCAUUUCUUGUAUGUAUAGUACCUAGACAAGAAAAAAUUGCAGUGUAAUGCUUUCACUUGUUGACCCUUGGUAGUGACAAGAAAAGGGUUUGGCCAUUUUGCUUUGUGUUUUGCCAUUUUGCUUUGUGUUUUGCCUUUGUGACUUGCAUAAUGGUCUCCAUAUGUCAGUGUGACUGAUAAUCCAUGACAACAAAGAGGAACUGAAUGUAGAGGAAUCAUCUUACUCUAUUUCUUUCCUACUGCUUAUGACUCUUUUCAAAGGUUGGGCAGCUACACAAGCUUCAAACCAACUUCUUCCAUUAUUACAAUACACUGUUUACCUUAUUUGUUUGACUUGGAUAGCUCCUGACAAGUAAAGGACCCAGAACAAACAGCACACCCCACUUUCAAGAGCAAACUAGCAGAUGAAGUUGAACUUCUAAUCUUUCAGUUGUUUGCUUUAGUGAUGGGAUCUGUUAAGUGGGUAGCUUAGCUAAUACAAACAAACCAGUUUCCUUGAAAUACUGCAAUUACUGAGAUAGGAUCUCUCUCCUGUAUUCUUAUUACAAACGUUGCAGGCACUGGUGGUUUGCAUUCAAGGAGGAAUGUCAGUUACUUAGAUGUCACCAGUCAGGGUGAAGGUGUCUAAUGGAAAACCAGAGGAAUUUUUCCCUAUAGUUCCAUUAGUCUUUCCACUUGGAGUUGCAGAAUUAAUUUUCUCAACAGUGAAAAUCUAGUUCAGCAAAGGUUUAAGUGAUGUUUGACUUGGGAAGGAUCCUGUAGGACAGGUGAGUUGGCCUGGUCUGCCCAUCUAACUAGUGACUGGGCCUGAAAUUUGAAAACUAGCAGCUUUUUUGCCUUUCCCAGAUCUGUGAAUGGUAAAAUGUGAUGUAAUAAAUAGAUCUGUUUUUUUUUUUUUAUUUGAUGUUUGUAUUAGAGUAACAACACUUGGUAACAUACCAGUAAUACAUGGACUGAGUGCUUCUCAGGCACAUGCAGAGAGGCAGUUCCUGUAUCAGUGAGAUUACAGUCUUGAGGAGAUUGAAAAAUAAGGAAGUAGUUGUUUUUAUUUUUACUCUGAAGGCGGAAAAACAGACUCUGAGUCACGCAGGGACAGACAGAAGCACCUCCCAAAACCCCAGGUUGUAGUCCAAGCCUUUCUGCAUAGUUCUUGUUCCUUUAUAUCCUGCUGUGAGAUAGGAGGUAAGUCCUGGGUGUCUAUUUUCAUCUACAAGAUUGAAUUGCAUAAUUGUUUACAUUGUUUUGUUUUCAUGUGGAGAACAGUAUGGAGGUGGAAGAGAUCUUUUGCUUGGGGUAGUUCUUAAUGGUGAUGAAGACAAAAUCAAGAACUUUGCAUUAGCUAAAGUUUUCUCAGGACUGAUGACUUCCAGCCCAGGUAUAAUUCAGAUAUAAUUCAAGCCAAAUCAUUGCUCAUUAAGAUGGGACAGUUGUCUUCGCUGAUCAGACUUAGUAAAAAGCUUCCAGUUUUGGAUGUUGCUUAACACUGUGCCAGCUCAGUGCUGGUAGGAAAGUUCAGGGGCAGUCCAAAGAGAUCGGUUAAAUCAACCCAUUGUGAACAUGUGUUUCCAUAGAAGAGACUGCCUUUAGCUACAAACUCAUCCCAGUCAGUUGUGUCACAUGGUUAGCAGGCCAUCCAAAGUGUCUUCACAUCACUUUUGUUCUGCCAUUGAAUUUCUCCUUAAAUUUCCUUAAGAACAUUUUCUUUUGAAUAAUGCUUUAAAAAAAAAAAAAAAGGCUAAAAUGUUUUCAGAAGCUUUAAGAAAUCAGUAAUCUCUGUUAACUGGAGCCAGUGUACUUAGAACAAACAUCUAUGUCUUUUUGUUUUUCUAGUUAACUUUUGUAUACAAUAACAAGAGCUGAAAUGUUGACCUUUCACACUCAGAGUUUGCAGGUUUCCCCUUUGCAAUGCUCUUUACAUGUCACAUUUCUCCUACACCUCUCCACUCCCUUUUACCUAAGCUUUCUUUACUGGCUGCCAACAGCUCUCAGUUCUAUCCUUGCAUUACCAAAGCAGUCUGUAUUGUCAAGUGGAUUGAGUGUGGGGCUACAUGCCAGCAUUCCUGAUUGCUUAUCUCAGCUAUGGCACAGAUUUGUCAGCCCUUGUGCAAUUCAGUUAAUCUAGUUCCCAGUCUUUAAAAUGAGGAUGAAGACAUUUACGUAACUAUUGGAGAUAAUUUGUAAUCAGCCUGAAUACUGAAUGCCAAGCUGUGGCGUGCAUUUCUCUAUACUUAUAUCAAUGGCUUUGUAAUUUCACACCAUUGAUAACUGCUUAUUUGUCACAUUCAUACACCACUGUUUUCAUCAGAAUUUAAAUUUUAAAUUUUUCAUCAGAAUUUCUGGUACAUUUUUUAUUUCUCCUGAGGUUUGAGAGGUAAGAACAACUUUGUCAGAAUAAACUAUGCUAUUCUGAUCACAUUCUCAGGGAGAGCAUGCUCAGAAGUGACAGAAGACUUCUAUUUCUCCUGACACUUCAGUCUGCAGAGAAGGGAAGAGAUGUUAGCAAUCUCUCUGUUACGUCCAUCCAGAUCAGCAAGUAGAACUAUCACAGUUGCUGGUGAACCUGAGCAGCUCGGAGCUGCUGUUGUAACUGCAGCUCUUUUAUAAAUAGGGUAGGCUCAGCUGAUUAGGGCUCUUAUCUGAUCUUCACUGGUUAAUGAGGAUAAGUGUUCAUCAGGUCUGGAGUUUGUGCCUCUUACAAAAUAUCGAGCACCUGCAUGAUGUUACUCUUCUUAGGGGAAAAAAAAACUGUCACUUUAUCUGUUAAACAUUUCAGGAUGUAUUUUUGUGGGAAACAGUUCUCAUGGUGCUUUUCUUUUCAUCUUUAUUUGGACAAAUUCACCCCCAAAGCCAAUUCACUUACUCUUCAGUUAGCUUUUGGAGUCAGUAAUUGGGUAUGAACAGACGUAGGUAACAAAGGCAGUGUCUGAGCAUGGUUCCUGUGUGGUGGAACGUAUUCUGCUGCUGCUUUUGAGAUAAAUGUCUUGACUCUAUGGAACUUGGUGCUAUAUUCCUUCCUAGCACCGUGUUCAGUUGUUCCUUUGCAGUUUGAACAUGCCUUUUAAGCACCUGAAGACUUUUGAGUCCCUGAGAUACUGACUUCAUAGAACUGUGUACUGUUUCAUCAACUCCUUGCAUAGUGGGCCCUUAACAUGCUUCAGAAGGAGGAGUCAAGAGAAAAUUUGACUCAAAAUAGUGUACUUCCUAAGAAGUGCUGUAGGAUUUCCCCUUAUCUAGCAACUACUUCCUCUUUUUCAAGUUUGCUUCUUCCUUUAUUGACUAUCACUUCUGUAACUCCCUGCUUUCCUGGAAACAUGCAUUGUGCAAAAAAAGGAAGAGAGGAAAAAUCCCAAAUUACCUCAUUCUCAAAGGGCAUAAUUCGUUCUUACUUUGUCUGUUUGCUACAAUCUACGUUCCAGUGAGAGUCAGGUAUCUGUGUGACUGUGAAGGAUUGUUUCUAUGUUGGCAUGAAGUUUGUGACAAAGUUCUGAUGACUUCAGGAUCAUCGGCUCGGGGCUGAUGGAACUGGUCAGAACAAAUACUGCAAUCUUCACAUGUUGAUUUUUGUUUCAUUUCUCUCUUGCUGAAAAUCAGGUUCUGUAUUAAGGACAAUAGAAAAUGAUUUCCUGCUUUUCUGGAGCUUCUGUCUCUUGUCGAGUGAUUCCAGCAUCAGAAGGGAACGUGCAUUCUUAAGCAGGGAUUUUGUCAGAAGGAAUCUUUAACCACCAAUGUACUAAACAGAGCCCUAAGAGUGCGUGACAGCUGAGGUGUGCUGGAUGGGUGUGGGUGAUGUGUGAGCAGCAGAGGGCUGAGGUGGCAGUAUCUGUGCCAUUGGGGCCGAGCCCCACCUGAGGGGAGGCUGCUGGACAAGUCAGUGUCACUCUGAUGUCCUUUUUUAGCAGCCUUCUAGUGAGGAAUAACUCCAGUUCCACAUAACUUCUAGACUUGAAAACUCUUAGUUCUCCCUGCCCCAUCUGUGUGGGCUCUGUGCCAUGUGAAACACGGCUCGCAUUAGAAUCUCAGCUCGGUUGUAGAACUGCAACCAUGGACGGCUGAGGCCGUCGAGCCUUGCUGAAUGCCACAGAGUUAAUUAAAUUUAGUUAAUUUAACUAAAUGCGCGCUGGAAACCCUCACCGCCCCAUAGAGCGGCAACGCCGCCCGCCUAGCGCAUGCGCAGCGCCACCCUCACUGCGCGCGGGCGCACGGACCGAGCCCAGCCCGCGCAUGCGCGC